rnacentral:rRNA from 1 species
AUACGGAGGACGCGAGCGUUAUCCGGAUUCAUUGGGUUUAAAGGGUGCGCAGGCGGCCGUGCAAGUCAGCGGUGAAAGCCCGGGGCUCAACCCCGGAAGUGCCGUUGAUACUGCAUGGCUGGAAUGCGGUCGAGGCGGGCGGGACGGGGCGGGGAGCGGUGGAAUGCGUAGAUAUGCCACAGAACGCCGAUAGCGGAGGCAGCUCGCCAGGCCUGCAUUGACGCUCGGGCACGAAAGCGUGGGGAUCGAACAGGAUUAGAUACCCUGGUAGUCCACGCAGUAAACGAUGAUGGCUAACCGCUGGUUUAUUCGGAUCAGUGGCCAAGCGAAAGCGAUAAGCCAUCCACCUGGGGAGUACGACCGCAAGGUUGAAACUCAAAUGAAUUGACGGGG